rnacentral:rRNA from 1 species
GAUAGUUUACUAUUUUGGUGGCGACCGGCGCACGGGUGAGUAACGCGUAUGUAACCUACCUUAUACAGGAGUAUAGCCCGAAGAAAUUCGGAUUAAUCCUCCAUAGUAUUUUCUAAUGGCAUCAUUUGGAAAAUUAAAGCUUCGGCGGUAUAAGAUGGGCAUGCGUCCUAUUAGCUAGAUGGUAAGGUAAUGGCUUACCAUGGCUACGAUAGGUAGGGGGCCUGAGAGGGUGAUCCCCCACACUGGUACUGAGACACGGACCAGACUCCUACGGGAGGCAGCAGUGAGGAAUAUUGGUCAAUGGGCGCAAGCCUGAACCAGCCAUGCCGCGUGCAGGAAGAAUGCCCUAUGGGUUGUAAACUGCUUUUAUUUAGGAAUAAACCCCUCUACGUGUAGAGGGCUGAAUGUACUAAACGAAUAAGCACCGGCUAACUCCGUGCCAGCAGCCGCGGUAA